AAGGGGUUUUCCGUAGGUGACCUGCGG
rnacentral:rRNA from 1 species